rnacentral:tRNA from 1 species
GCGGCCGUAGCUCAGCGGGAGAGCGCCCGGCUGAAGAACGGGCGGUCCCGGGUUCAAAUCCCGGCGGCCGCACCA